AUUGAACGCUGGCGGCAUGCUUUACACAUGCAAGUCGAACGGUAACAGGCCGCAAGGUGCUGACGAGUGGCGCACGGGUGCGUAAUGCAUCGGAACGUGCCCAGUCGUGGGGGAUAACUACUCGAAAGAGUAGCUAAUACCGCAUACGAUCUAUGGAUGAAAGCGGGGGACCGUAAGGCCUCGCGCGAUUGGAGCGGCCGAUGUCAGAUUAGGUAGUUGGUGGGGUAAAGGCUCACCAAGCCAACGAUCUGUAGCUGGUCUGAGAGGACGACCAGCCACACUGGGACUGAGACACGGCCCAGACUCCUACGGGAGGCAGCAGUGGGGAAUUUUGGACAAUGGGCGCAAGCCUGAUCCAGCAAUGCCGCGUGCAGGAAGAAGGCCUUCGGGUUGUAAACUGCUUUUGUACGGAACGAAACGGCUCUGGUUAAUACCCGGGGCUAAUGACGGUACCGUAAGAAUAAGCACCGGCUAACUACGUG
rnacentral:rRNA from 1 species